AAACUUUCAACAACGGAUCUCUUGGCUCUGGCAUCGAUGAAGAACGCAGCGAAAUGCGAUACGUAAUGUGAAUUGCAGAAUCCAGUGAAUCAUCGAAUCUUUGAACGCACAUUGCGCCCGCCAGUAUUCUGGCGGGCAUGCCUGUCCGAGCGUCAUUU
rnacentral:rRNA from 3 species